rnacentral:rRNA from 1 species
UACGUAGGGUGCGAGCGUUGUCCGGAAUUAUUGGGCGUAAAGAGCUCGUAGGCGGUUUGUCACGUCUGCUGUGAAAUCCCGAGGCUCAACCUCGGGCCUGCAGUGGGUACGGGCAGACUGGAGUGCGGUAGGGGAGAAUGGAAUUCCUGGUGUAGCGGUGGAAUGCGCAGAUAUCAGGAGGAACACCGAUGGCGAAGGCAGUUCUCUGGGCCGUAACUGACGCUGAGGAGCGAAAGCGUGGGGAUCAAACAGG